rnacentral:lncRNA from 1 species
CGAGAUAUACCGAUCGAAAGAUUUUCGUUUCGGAUCGAAAACUUACCGAGCUCCGACGAACGUGAAACCGGUCACUCUAGGUGCAAUCCUCCUAGUAUGAUGAUCAGCAGGUUGAGGGGAGUUCAUGGAGCUAAGGAUCGGAAGUUUUGGUGGCCGGAGCUAGGAGAAAACCGGCGUUGACCAAAAUCGAGCUUUAAUCGAAACCGGGCCGCCGCCGCUAGGGGCCGUGCCGCCGUGAAAGGUUGCCACAGAUGGCUUCGGAGGAGUGAGGCGAAGCUGAUGGAGGUGGUUUGGAGGCAAACGGUGGCCGGAGCUAGGAGAACUCGGCCGGCGAUCCUUGCUCUGUUUUGCCGUCGUCCUCGGCCUCGAGCG